rnacentral:rRNA from 1 species
AUUUGAACAAAUUGGCUUAUAUUUGUGAAUUAGUGGUGUAAUUUAAAGUUGGGUUAUUUUGUUUUGUUGGGGUGACAAAGAUAUAGGUGAUAAGUUGAGAACUGUCUUUAGAUAUAUAAUAGUGUUGUUUAGUUUAGUGUGAUCCUUUAUUAGGGAUUAAAAGAUUAAAUU